rnacentral:rRNA from 1 species
CCUACGGGAGGCAGCAGUGGGGAAUAUUGCACAAUGGGCGAAAGCCUGAUGCAGCAACGCCGCGUGAAGGAAGAAGGUCUUCGGAUCGUAAACAUCUGUCCUUGGGGAAGAUAAUGACGGUACCCUUGGAGGAAGCCCCGGCUAACUACGUGCCAGCAGCCGCGGUAAUACGUAGGUGGCAAGCGUUGUCCGGAAUUACUGGGUGUAAAGGGAGCGCAGGCGGGAAGCCAAGUCAGCUGUGAAAACUACGGGCUUAACUUGUAGACUGCAGUUGAAACUGGUUUUCUUGAGUGAAGUAGAGGUUG